UUUUGUGGUUAGUAAAGGAGGAGUGAGAGCGAAGAGGAAAAGACGGAAGGUUGGCUUCGGGGUAGGGAACUAAGGUAGGUAGCAAGCCCUAGGAGGAGGAGAGCGCGCGAAGAUCCUGGCCAGGGAGCUUCGAAGAAGAAGAGGAACCUGAGCACGAACCGUACCGCGUCUGCUGGCACCACCACGGCCUCCACCCGUACUGCCGCGGGCGCGGGUGCCGCACGGGGACGGGCCCCAGGGACAAGGGCAUGGGUGGCGGCGCACGGCCCUACCGGCACUCGGCGUUCACGGACGCCCGGCGCGUCCGCCUCGAACCGCGGCCCUACGAGUCACCGGACCAGCUCAGGUACGCCCGCAGGAGGGGGUGCGUGCGUUCCCGGCGGCGCCGGGAGCGGCGGCCGCAGCUGCUGCUCGUGCGGCGGACCUACCGCUUCGUGGGCAGGCGGGACCCGUUCAAGCUCCUCUAGCACCGGCGCAGGUUCCCCUUCGUCUAGCAGUACAAGGACCUGAUGCUGCCGUGCGACAGGGGGUAGCAGCUACUGGGGCUGCGGCGGAAGUACUCGCUCUGCUACGCCUACCGGCACGCGUCGCACCGGUUCGUGAAGGGCUGCCGCUAGCAGUCGCCAGCCACGGCGCUGUUCCACAAACUAAAGCACUUCGACCGCCUCGAGAUGAUGCGGCCGUCGGUGCCGUACCUGUAGUUCCCGGGCCGGUUCAGGAGUUUCAGGUUCCGGUUUCCUCAAGAGAAGGUUGGUCGUUCGCUCAAGGACGGGUACUAUCUUCUCCACGUAGUCGCCGACUAUCUCCUCUGCUUCGUGCAUCGGCCCCGGUUCCACCUCUUGUUGUUCAAGACGCACAGGCAGGUGAAGUCUACGCAGCUGCUUUUCUCGACCCCGCGCGACCGCCUCUGCCACUUCCCGCACUACGCCCUCAUGGGCUUCGACGCGUACAGCGUCCCCGCCUACCACAAGCUCCACGCCGGGUGGUAGUUCACCCUGUUCCCGUUCCGGGAGCUCAAGGACGAGCUCAGCGACCCGAAGCGGCUGACGGGGUUGCACGAGGGGCAGAUGUAGCCGCUGCUGGCGUGGCUGCUCCUGCGGAAGUUCCACGACGCGGCCGCCCCGGUCCCGCAGCCCUAGGAGCAGAGGUUCGUGGGGUUCCUGUGGUCGCGGAGGAAGAGCGACGUCCUCGGCCGGCUCCAGUACCUCAAGGACGAGGCGGAGCAGCUCACCUUCGUCGAGAGGUUCCGCGCGGAGUCCGACGCCGCCGUCCGGCUGCGGACUAGCCUGCUGCUCCUAGCCGGCCGGCCGCCCUUACCGGCUUGAUUAAUAAAGUGACGAUGCACAUCGAAUCGAUCAAUUACUUUUAGGGGACGAACGAGUAGGCUUGUUUCGGUUUCCGAUGCAUGCACCUACCCUUCUUCCUUGCAUGAUGCCGCUUGGACGCCUCGUAACAACGCGGUGUACAACACAAGAUUAAUUGGCAGGAAGAAAAAGACCCCUACAUAUGGCAUGGAUGGCUAAUACGUACGUACAUUUAAUGGAAACAGGUGCAUGUUCCCCUCCUUGGUACCUUAUUUGUUUCUCUUUAGACUCAUUUAUCGUUG
rnacentral:rRNA from 1 species